AUACGUAGGUGACAAGCGUUAUCCGGUUUUACUGGGUGUAAAGGGCGUGUAGGCGGUUUAGCAAGUCAGAAGUGAAAUUCCCGGGCUUAACUUGGGCGCAGCUUCUGAAACUGCUUUACUUGAGUGCUGGAGAGGAUCGUGGAAUUCCUAGUGUAGCGGUAAAAUGCGCAGAUAUUAGGAGGAACACCGGUGGCGAAGGCGGCUAUCUGGACAGUAACUGACGCUGAGGCGCGAAAGCACGGGGAGCAAACAGGAUUAGAUACCCUGGUAGUCCGUGCCGUAAACGAUGAAUACUAGGUGUAGGGGGUAUCGACUCCCUCUGUGCCGCAGUUAACACAUUAAGUAUUCCACCUGGGGAGUACGGCCGCAAGGUUGAAACUCAAAGGAAUUGACGGGG
rnacentral:rRNA from 1 species